rnacentral:tRNA from 1 species
GGAGAGAUGGCAGAGCGGUUGAAUGCGACGGUCUUGAAAACCGUUGUGGGGGCGACUCCACCCAGGGUUCGAAUCCCUGUCUCUCCGCCA